ensembl:miRNA
GGUGCCUGCAGGCUUCAUGAUGGGUAUCUUCCAAGGGCCUUUCUAGAAUCUGCAGGUAGUCC